AUAGCUAGGCUUUCAACACUAUACACAUCCUCAUUGUAUUA
rnacentral:sRNA from 1 species